UACGAAGGGGGCAAGCGUUGUUCGGAAUUAUUGGGCGUAAAGGGCUCGUAGGCGGUUUGUCGCGUCGGGAGUGAAAACACCGGGCUUAACUCGGUGCUUGCUUUCGAUACGGGCAGACUAGAGGCAUGCAGGGGAGAACGGAAUUCCUGGUGUAGCGGUGAAAUGCGCAGAUAUCAGGAGGAACACCGGUGGCGAAGGCGGUUCUCUGGGCAUGUCCUGACGCUGAGGAGCGAAAGUGCGGGGAGCGAACAGG
rnacentral:rRNA from 1 species